rnacentral:lncRNA from 1 species
UCAAGGGAUCCUUGUAGCACUGAGAGCACCAUCAAGUCUUCUUGAAUCCAUUUCUUCUCGGCAGCAGCAACUUGAUCUCCAUCACCUUCACUUCCUUCUCCUACUUUGGCCACUGGUUUAGGUCCUUCAUCCGUGAUGUGACUCCAUAACCCUAGCCUCCCAAUGGCUGUCUUCACCAGCCUAGACCACAACAGGUAGUUUCCACUACCCUUCAAUGCAACA